rnacentral:rRNA from 1 species
UGGGGAAUUUUGGACAAUGGGGGAAACCCUGAUCCAGCCAUCCCGCGUGUGCGAUGAAGGCCUUCGGGUUGUAAAGCACUUUUGGCAGGAAAGAAACGUCAUGGGUUAAUACCCCGUGAAACUGACGGUACCUGCAGAAUAAGCACCGGCUAACUACGUGCCAGCAGCCGCGGUAAUACGUAGGGUGCAAGCGUUAAUCGGAAUUACUGGGCGUAAAGCGUGCGCAGGCGGUUCGGAAAGAAAGAUGUGAAAUCCCAGAGCUCAACUUUGGAACUGCAUUUUUAACUACCGGGCUAGAGUGUGUCAGAGGGAGGUGGAAUUCCGCGUGUAGCAGUGAAAUGCGUAGAUAUGCGGAGGAACACCGAUGGCGAAGGCAGCCUCCUGAGAUAACACUGACGCUCAUGCACGAAAGCGUGGGGAGCAAACAGG